rnacentral:rRNA from 1 species
UACGGAGGGUGCAAGCGUUAUCCGGAUUUACUGGGUUUAAAGGGUGCGCAGGCGGAUAUGUAAGUCAGUGGUGAAAUCUCCGGGCUUAACUCGGAACGGUCAACUGAUACUGCGCGGCUAGAGUGCAGAAGGGGCAACUGGAAUUCUCGGUGUAGCGGUGAAAUGCGUAGAUAUCGAGAGGAACACCUGCGGCGAAGGCGGGUUGCUGGGCUGACACUGACGCUGAUGCGCGAAAGCCAGGGGAGCGAACGGG